UCUUUGGUAGCAAUACCGAAGAAAGUCUAGUGGCGAACGGGUGCGUAACACGUGGGCAAUUUGCCUUAAAGUGGGGGAUAGCUCGGCGAAAGCCGGAUUAAUACCGCAUGUGAUUACCGGAGACAUCUUCGGAACAUCAAAGUCGGGGCAACCUGACGCUUUUUGAGGAGCCCGCGGCCUAUCAGCUAGUUGGUGAGGUAACGGCUCACCAAGGCUUUGACGGGUAGCUGGUCUGAGAGGACGACCAGUCACACUGGAACUGAGACACGGUCCAGACACCUACGGGUGGCAGCAGUCGAGAAUUUUUCUCAAUGGGGGAAACCCUGAAGGAGCGACGCCGCGUGGAGGAUGAAGGUCUUCGGGUUGUAAACUCCUGUCAUUUGGGAACAAUGCUUACGUAUUAACUGUACGUGAGUUGAUAGUACCAGAAGAGGAAGAGACGGCUAACUCUGUGCCAGCAGCCGCGGUAAUACAGAGGUCUCAAGCGUUGUUCGGAUUCAUUGGGCGUAAAGGGUGUGUAGGUGGCUCGCUAAGUCGGGUGUGAAAUUUCGGAGCUUAACUCCGAAACUGCAUUCGAUACUGGCGUGCUUGAGGACUGGAGAGGAGACUGGAAUUCUCGGUGUAGCA
rnacentral:rRNA from 1 species